CUUCCCUCACAAACCCUUUCCUUUUUUUUAUUCUCUUUGUUUGUUUGUUUGUUUGAUGACUUGUUGUGACAAGUGUUUCUGUUAAUAAAGAUUGCAUGGGUAGUAGAGAACUAGGUUAAGGUUUGCCACUUUACAAGCUUCAAUCAGUUUGUUUGCUGCUAUGGGCGAAGAACUGGAUCGAUUGUUGUUGUCUUUCUGCUUAGCGUUGAAAAGAGAUGGCGACUCAAUUGGUCUUAGUUUUUUUCCCAAAUGUUGUAGGCUGACACAAGAGAGUAGAUGAAGACAAAGAAGCCAAGAUUCUGUGUUUUGAGGCAAAUAACAUUUCUAUAAACAAAUAUUAUGGUUUUUGAGGCAAUAAUAGGCUUUAGAAAACACAUCAUUCAUUGAUGGUUCUUACACAUCUUCUUAAAAGCUUAAACAUGUACCACCCGACCAUUUUUUUAAUGGAAUGUGUCUUCUUUUCUUGUUGGCUAUUACUGCAUUUGAGUUGAUUUGUAGUAGACACUUUAAUGCAAGUAUAAUUACUGAUUGGUCUUAUACUCCCAGCUUGCAAUGAUGAUGUGUGAUGAGUUAGCCAGAAGAACACUGAAGCUACAGUUUAUCUUGCAAAGAGGACUUUUGAUGAUGUCUACGCGUACCCAAUGCGCGAGAAGCUUUAAGAGAGAGUUUAGGCAAAGAAUAAUUGUGUUGUACUGCUCAAACACUAAUGUUCUCUUUGUCUUCAAUUUUCCUAUCAAAGACAAAUGUCCUCCAUCUUUUAUAUCUCAAUUCUCUAUGAUCUCUGUUAAAUCAACA